GAUAACUCGGAGGGGGAUAACGCGUGAGAACCUGCCUCUUGGCCGGGGACAACAGUUGAAACGGCUGCUAAUCCCGGAUGAGCCGAAAGGUAAAAGAUUAAUCGCCAAGAGAGGGGCUUGCGUCUGAUUAGCUAGUUGGUAGUGUAAGAGACUACCAAGGCGACGAUCAGUAGCUGGUCUGAGAGGAUGAUCAGCCACACUGGGACUGAGACACGGCCCAGACUCCUACGGGAGGCAGCAGUGGGGAAUUUUCCGCAAUGGGCGAAAGCCUGACGGAGCAAGACCGCGUGGGGGAGGAAGGUUCUUGGAUUGUCAACCCCUUUUCUCAGGGAAGAAGAAAGUGACGGUACCUGAGGAAGAAGCAUCGGCUAACUCCGUGCCAGCAGCCGCGGUAAUACGGAGGAUGCAAGCGUUAUCCGGAAUGAUUGGGCGUAAAGAGUCCGUAGGUGGCCCUUCAAGUCUGCUGUUAAAGAGCGAGGCUUAACUUCGGAAAAGCAGUGGAAACGGAGAGCUAGAGUGUAGUAGGGGCAGAGGGAAUUCCUGGUGUAGCGGUGAAAUGCGUAGAGAUCAGGAAGAACACCGGGGCGAAAGCGCUCUGCUGGC
rnacentral:rRNA from 1 species